AUGGAGUACCCGGGCCUGAUCAAGAUCGCCAUGCACGGCGGGCCGCGGUGUGACCCAGACAGCAGGGACUGGACCGUCGGCACCACCGAGGGCGAGGGUGGGCUGGCGGAUCCCGUGGCACGGUGGAUCGACGAGGUGAUGCCGGGCCACGUCGACCCUGCCGGCGGGCCGGUGCUCCGGCAGGCGUGCAUGUACUCCAUGACGCCCGACGAGGACUUCGUGAUCGACUUCCUGGGCGGCGAGGAGUUCGGGAGGGACGUGGUUGUCGGCGCCGGGUUCUCUGGUCACGGGUUCAAGAUGGGCCCUGCCAUCGGGAGGAUCCUUGCUGAGAUGGCGUUGGACGGUGAGUCAGGGACGGCGGCAGAGGCUGGCGUGGAGCUCGAGCACUUCAGGAUCGGACGGUUCGACGGCAACCCGAUGGGGAACGCUACAAGUUGGUAA
rnacentral:rRNA from 1 species